rnacentral:rRNA from 1 species
CAGUGGCGAACGGGUGAGUAACACGUGGGCAAUCUGCCCUGCACUCUGGGACAAGCCCUGGAAACGGGGUCUAAUACCGGAUAUGACCUUCCUCUGCAUGGGGGUUGGUGGAAAGCUCCGGCGGUGCAGGAUGAGCCCGCGGCCUAUCAGCUUGUUGGUGGGGUAAUGGCCUACCAAGGCGACGACGGGUAGCCGGCCUGAGAGGGCGACCGGCCACACUGGGACUGAGACACGGCCCAGACUCCUACGGGAGGCAGCAGUGGGGAAUAUUGCACAAUGGGCGCAAGCCUGAUGCAGCGACGCCGCGUGAGGGAUGACGGCCUUCGGGUUGUAAACCUCUUUCAGCAGGGAAGAAGCGCAAGUGACGGUACCUGCAGAAGAAGCACCGGCUAACUACGUGCCAGCAGCCGCGGUAAUACGUAGGGUGCGAGCGUUGUCCGGAAUUAUUGGGCGUAAAGAGCUCGUAGGCGGCCUGUCGCGUCGGAUGUGAAAGCCCGGGGCUUAACCCCGGGUCUGCAUUCGAUACGGGCAGGCUAGAGUGUGGUAGGGGNAGAUCGGAAUUCCU